rnacentral:misc_RNA from 1 species
AAAUGCGAUAAGUAAUGUGAAUUGCAGAAUUCAGUGAAUCAUCGAAUCUUUGAACGCACUUUGCGCUCCUUGGUAUUCCUUGGAGCAUGCCUGUUUGAGUAUCAUGAAAUCUUCAAAGUAAAUCUUAUGUUAACUCAAUUGGUUUCUACUUUGGUAUUGGAGGUCUUUGCAGCUUCACACCUGCUCCUCUUUGUUCAUUAGCUGGAUCUCAGUGUUAUGCUUGGUUCCACUCGGCGUGAUAAGUUAUCUAUCGCUGAGGACACUGUAAAAGGUGGCCAAGGUAAAUGCAGAUGAACCGCUUCUAAUAGUCCAUUGACUUGGACAAUACUUUUAUGAUCUGAUCUCAAAUCAGGUAGAACUACCCGCUGAACUUAAGC